AUACGGAGGGUGCAAGCGUUACUCGGAAUCACUGGGCGUAAAGCGCGCGCAGGCGGCUAUUUAAGUUGGAUGUGAAAGCCUACGGCUCAACCGUAGAACUGCAUCCAAAACUAUUUGGCUAGAGUGUGGGAGAGGAAGAUGGAAUUAGUUGUGUAGGGGUAAAAUCCGUAGAGAUAACUAGGAAUACCAAAAGCGAAGGCAAUCUUCUGGAACACUACUGACGCUGAGGCGCGAAAGCGUGGGGAGCAAACGGGAUUAGAAACCCUAGUAGUCC
rnacentral:rRNA from 1 species